UGGGGAAUAUUGCACAAUGGGCGAAAGCCUGAUGCAGCAACGCCGCGUGAGGGAUGACGGCCUUCGGGUUGUAAACCUCUUUUAGCAGGGAAGAAGCGAAAGUGACGGUACCUGCAGAAAAAGCGCCGGCUAACUACGUGCCAGCAGCCGCGGUAAUACGUAGGGCGCAAGCGUUAUCCGGAAUUAUUGGGCGUAAAGAGCUCGUAGGCGGUUUGUCGCGUCUGCUGUGAAAUCCCGAGGCUCAACCUCGGGCCUGCAGUGGGUACGGGCAGACUAGAGUGCGGUAGGGGAGAUUGGAAUUCCUGGUGUAGCGGUGGAAUGCGCAGAUAUCAGGAGGAACACCGAUGGCGAAGGCAGAUCUCUGGGCCGUAACUGACGCUGAGGAGCGAAAGGGUGGGGAGCGAACAGG
rnacentral:rRNA from 1 species